AUUGAACGCUGGCGGCAUGCCUAACACAUGCAAGUCGAACGAGUGGCGGACGGGUGAGUAAUGUCUGUGAAACUGCCCGAUGGAGGGGGAUAACUACUGGAAACGGUAGCUAAUACCGCAUACCAUCGGAUGUGCCCAGUUGGGAUUAGCUAGUUGGUGGGGUAACGGCUAACCUAGGCGACUAUCCCUAGCUGGUCUGAGAGGAUGCCCAGCCACACUGGAACUGAGAAACGGUCCAGACUCCUACGGGAGGAAGCAGUGGGGAAUAUUGGACAAUGGGGAAAAGCCUGAUGCAGCCAUGCCGCGUGUAGGAAGAAGGCCUUCGGGUUGUAAAGUACUUUCAGCGAGGAGGCGUUACUCGCAGAAGAAGCACCGGCUAACUCCGUGCCAGCAGCCGCGGUAAUAC
rnacentral:rRNA from 1 species